UAUGUUUUCAGGAAUCCCCUUAACCUGCUCUCCUUUCCUGUGAAUUGACCUGACGCUCAUAUUUUUACUUAAAUUGACAUCUUUAAACUUCAGUAAAUGCAUUGUGUGCUUGGGAGUCCACUCAUUCUCUUCUCCUCAACUUAAAAAAUUCUAUCUGUUCUUCAAGAACUGGCUAUUCCAUGAAGCUGUCCGUGUUUGUUUUGGUUCUUGCUGAUCUAUUUCCCAGUUGUUCAAACUUUUCCAACACUUAAACAGUCUGCUGUAUAUUUAGACACUGAUUUUGUGUCAUUUGUGUCUUCAUUACUUAAUGGGUUCAUUAUGUAGAUUAUGACAGCAGAGAUCUCUUUCAAACCCUGUGCUUCCCCUUUUCUACUGCCCCCUUCCUUAUCAAGCCAAAUUGAAGCCUAACCCCAAGCCUCCUCUUUACUGGUGGCUUCAGGACCAGCCUGUAUCCUGAGGUUCUUUCUGGCCCUUACUGACUCUGAAGUCCUUUUCUAACCAAUUCCUGUCUGGUAAGGAGUUUAA
rnacentral:lncRNA from 1 species